rnacentral:lncRNA from 1 species
AAUAAAUUAAUUCCAAAGCUACACGUUGUUUUAAAACUUGCCUUUUGUUUCAGGUAGUUGAAAUAUUCCAAUAUUUAUCAACUGCAAAUGUAAAAUUAGAAAUUAUAUUGAAAUUAAAAGAAAUAAGCCACUUUUUAUACACUUUUGUAUGCAAGGGAGAUAAUUACAAACUUUCAUAAAAUGUAAUAAAUUAAACAUUUCUAAUAGGAAUCUAACCCUAUAUAAGGGGUCAUUUUGUUCCUUAAAUAAAUCUCUAACAGAAUAUAUGAAAACUGAAAAAUGUCAGAAAAUGUUGCUCAAAUGUGACUGACCACCUUUAAAUGUGAUUCUUAACGGAUUUUAUUUUAUGUUUAGCUCUUGUGUCGAUAGUUUGAACAGUGUUUGUAUUCGCUAGGGUAAUAGAUACUUUUUUUCUGUCGGAUGUUUCUUAAUUUUUAGACUGUCAUUUCUGAUUCACGAUUGAUGAAAUAAAGAACAGCAGCAUAUAUGAUACAUCCAUGUUCAACUAAUGUAUGUUAGUGUGUCACAGUCUGAAUAUUCGACUUUCGACUUAGACAGAUUUAUAUUAGAUACUGAAACGCUGCAUAUAUUGUAUCACUACUGGCCUAUAUACUAGAAAAUUAAUUUCAGUCACAUGCUUUGAGAGCAAUAACGGUAAAAAUUACACACCACAUUUACUGACCCCCUCCCAUACACAUAUACGUUUUGAAAAUGAUUCUGAUUAUACAGUUUUAGCAGAAAUAUACUACUGUUUGAUAGAUUGAUAAUUUGCCCCCCACACCCCCAAGUUGUCUAUAUUCAUUUUUUUAUACAUUUUAUGUUCAUGUUCCGAAUUUUAUUUGUAUUUAUGAUUGGUUGACAGGUUGACAGGUCGACAGGUUGACAGGUCGACAGGUUGACAGGUAGACAGGUAGACAAGAUGAUCACCGACAGGCCGAUAGGAUGAAAAUAUGACUGAUUGUGUUGUCAGUUUGACAGGUUGACAGUUCGACAGGUUGACAGGUCGACAGGUUGACAGGUUGAUCAUAUAUAUAGAAGACAUAUGCUUCAUAUACAACUUGAAAAUUAUACUUCUGCUGGCAUCCAGAAGCACCAGACAGAUAAUAAGGGAUAUGGCAUUAUAACUGGUGACGAGGGUCACAGAUUUAUGUCUUCCAUAACUAUGAAACAGAGUAAAGGAGAAUCUGAAAAGGCACUUUUGUGCAAACUUUGGGGUGGUAGAGGAGACGCCAAUGUACUUGCGAACGGUGUUAGAGGGUUCGAUAGAACUUCUAUGUCACUAUGGGUUUUCAUACAACCUGAGCCGCUGUUGAAAGAGCUUGUAAAUCUGAAAGUUUGACAACGCGCGACCUCACGUUGCACGUGUCACCAGGAACCUUUUACAGACGAGCAACAUUGACGUUUUGCCUUGGCGUAAUCCGACUGAACACGCCUUGGAUUACCUUAGACGGCGUUUACGUCAAAGUCAACCGCAGUCUGCCAACGUCCAGGAACUGAUAGCAGCGCUCCACCAGGUGUGGAAUAGAAUGCCACGGUAUCUGCUACGUAAAUGAUGCGACAGUCUUGAUGCUGUGGUUGCCUGUAGAUGUGGCCACACGCGCAACUGGUUCCUCAGACAAGUCUAUCAAAAUGCAAGAUCUGAAGUAUGGAAGGGCAUUUAAGUAAAAAAUCCAUUCAAUGUAAAUGACUUAUUCUUGCAUGUAAAUUACAUUGAUGUAAUGGUAAAUUAAUAUUCUAAUAUUCGUUGUCUCAAUUUCUAAUUUCUAUGUCCUAUUUUCUAGUUGUUUGUAUGGGAAAGGUAAUCAAUAGUGUGAAAAAUAACAUUUUGUCACAAAAAUCCUGCAUGAAAAUGAAUUUUACAUAUUUUGUUAUGUUUAAAUUGUUAAUGAUGAAGUUUUAUUUUUCUACACCGUAUUUCUUUCUCUAGGUCUUAAUUUGCUAAUCACUAAACCGUAAAUUUUAUAAUACACUUUACAAGUGUUUCAUCAAGUCUUAAUAUUCGCAAUUUUUUUUUCAUUCAGGAAGUAUUUAAAAGUCAUUUAGAAGUUAUAAUAGGAAACUUGUCUUGGACGCAUUUAAAAGUUACAAUCUGUAAAUAGAAUUUAGAAGGGUACCAGUGAUAUUGGUAUCAAGCUACAUAUAAAUUGUAACAAAGUAGGAACCAGAAAUACCGGUUCCCUUUUAAAACAGAAGGCGCUUCAAUGGAUUAUUCCGAAAAAUAUCCCUCAUGGAAGGCAUUUCAGCCCCCAAAUACCCCUUGGACACACCCCUUAAAACAUAAGUAGGAGAAACACCAAAAAGUAAUUGGACAACCUAUGGAAGUCAUCUUUUUCAGAAAAAUACCCCCCACCUGGACAAUUCAACUUGAAAGACCCCCCAGGACGAGCACCCCUCUGGACAACCUAUGGAAGGCAUUUUUUCUAACACCCCACUGGAAAGACCCCCAACCCCACCCCUGGACAACAUGUGGGAGGCAUCUUUUCUGGAAAAAAAACACAUCCGUGAUAAGCCGUCUCAAAAGACGCCCCCCCCCCCCCCCCCUCGCCCUCACCAAAUACAAACAUUUUUCCUGAGCCCCUUCCCCGCACCAUCACCACUACGGCCAAGCUGUCUCCAGUCAUUUACUUCAAUGAGUUAUUUUACAUAAAUGCCCUGCUAUAUUGAAGCAUAGUGCGCCAUGAAAUGCUGUCUAAUUAACCAUUAGUUCUUUUAAAUAAUCAGGUUUUGUGAACGGAAUUGUUCUUUCUUAAUUUAGAAUCAGGUUUGAUAAAAUAGUGUACAAUGAGUUUGAAUGAGGUGUUUCUUUUUCUCGUCAGUGUAGAAUUCCGCUUAAGCCAGGGUUCAGAGACAUAUGAGAUGUAGUACAUAUCACUUUCUCUCAAUGAAAAAACUCAGUCGAGUCAGAUAUUAUGUGCUAGAUUGCAUUCUAUGCUUCCAAAUUAUCUUUUCACAUAUUGUAUAUACUAUCACAAAAGAAAAUUCAAGUGCUGUGUUGCGGCUGUUUAAAGUCUCUCUAUACUUGGACUCGGUGUUGUAAUAUUUUCUGGUCAUGUUAGGAACAUAGAAAACAUUCAUUUUUAUUAUAAUAGAAUUCCGCCGCUUAAGCCGGUACUUGGGAGACGUGAUAAGCAGACUCAAUCAAUUCGAGUCUGCUGUUAUGUUGCUUUGUUGCGUUCUAUGCUUCCAAAGGAUCUUUUCACCAAUUUUAUUGACCGUGACAACAGCAGUCUACACGUAUUUUGCGGCGGCUGUAUCAAAUCUGUUAGUACUUGAACUCAAUGUUGUUGUUUUUAUUUGCCCUUUGGGAUCAUGGAAUACAUUCAUUUUUACUAAAAAGAAUUAUGCUAUACCGGCGGUAGGGGGCGUUAAAGGUGUUGCGCAUGCAUUACCUCUCAUGAACAGACUCAAUUGAAACGAGUGUGCUAUGAUGUUACUUGAUUGCGUUCUUAUGUCUUUUAUUAAAUACAUUAUAUUUCACUUAUUCUUAGUAGGUGAUGGUGUCUCCUGUACUGAAACAAUUCUUAGACGGGCAUGAUUGAUAAACUUCCAACCAGUUACAUUGUACUUGUCAUAUAAACGCUAUGUGUAAUGCUGGGACAAGGACAAUUGAUGAAGUGGUAUCACGUUCGUCUAAUAAGAGAGCAACUUGUUGUGUAAUAUUUGAAACUGUUUCAAAGCUUGAAUUCAAUAUAUUAAUGUAAGACGUUGUUUAAUAGUGUUGAUAGAGGUAUUAAAUUCAUAUGACCUUGG